GAUGAACGCUGGCGGCGUGCCUAAUACAUGCAAGUCGAGCGAACAGAUGAGGAGCUUGCUCCUCUGACGUUAGCGGCGGACGGGGGAGUAACACGUGGAUAACCUACCUAUAAGACUGGGAUAACUUCGGGAAACCGGAGCUAAUACCGGAUAAUAUAUUGAACCGCAUGGUUCAAUAGUGAAAGACGGUUUUGCUGUCACUUAUAGAUGGAUCCGCGCCGCAUUAGCUAGUUGGUAAGGUAACGGCUUACCAAGGCGACGAUGCGUAGCCGACCUGAGAGGGUGAUCGGCCACACUGGAACUGAGACACGGUCCAGACUCCUACGGGAGGCAGCAGUAGGGAAUCUUCCGCAAUGGGCGAAAGCUUGACGGAGCAACGCCGCGUGAGUGAUGAAGGUCUUCGGAUCGUAAAACUCUGUUAUUAGGGAAGAACAAAUGUGUAAGUAACUAUGCACGUCUUGACGGUACCUAAUCAGAAAGCCACGGCUAACUACGUG
rnacentral:rRNA from 1 species